rnacentral:rRNA from 1 species
GACAGAGGAUGCAAGCGUUAUCCGGAAUGAUUGGGCGUAAAGCGUCUGUAGGUGGCUUUUUAAGUCCGCCGUCAAAUCCCAGAGCUCAACCCUGGACAGGCGGUGGAAACUACCAAGCUGGAGUACGGUAGGGGCAGAGGGAAUUUCCGGUGGAGCGGUGAAAUGCGUAGAGAUCGGAAAGAACACCAAGCGGCAGAAGCACUCUGCUGGGCCGACACUGACACUGAGAGACGAAAGCUAGGGGAGCGAAUGGG